rnacentral:lncRNA from 1 species
CCCCCCCCCCCCUUAUGUGUCGUCUUCUCCAGCAUUCUGCUUCUUCAACCCAAACGACCCAUCGUUGAAGACCAGCAACAACAACUCACGGAAUCAAAACAUCACCCUUCAACUCCACCCAUCUUCCUCUCCCCACAAACGUACGCACCAGUCCAAAACGAGGCACCUAAAAUACUCUAAGGGACGGUAAAAAUGAGUCGAGAAUGGAGUCCUUUCAUCUCCAAGUGACAGUAGCUUAUGCAGUUAACUGUUGGUGUUGGCGUUAUAGUUUUGUGUAAUCUUGACAAUUUUAUUUUUUCUCUUCUGAUUUUCAAUUUCGAAAUCACGGAGUCCAAUUGGAUCUGAAUUUCGCUGCUGGGGUAGAGCUAGUUAAAGUUGAUGUUCGAGUGUUUCCGGUUAGCGGGCUUGGUCGAUGGUCUCUGACUGUGGUUUAGUCCCGGCUUAAUUCUGUCACUAAAUCGCACAUUUGAGGUCUAUCUCCCAUCCUUAUUAAUGUUUUGUCAGUAUAGUAUGGUGUUAAUGGUUAUAUGAAGAUUUACAGUUCGUUGCCUGCGUUUCAUUUUGUUUUUCGUUAUUCUGCGACACUUUAACUUGUUUUUGAAUGCUUUCUGUUAAGUCUUAUCUUGCUUGGUUGUGCCUAUUUAUUGGUACUGUGAAUCUGAUCCUAAAUGGUUUGAUAUAAUAUUAAUGGAAGGAUUGAACUUGGGGUUUGUUGGUUUA